rnacentral:rRNA from 1 species
GACGAACGCUGGCGGCGUGCCUAAUACAUGCAAGUUGAGCGCUGAAGGUUGGUACUUGUACCAACUGGAUGAGCAGCGAACGGGUGAGUAACGCGUGGGGAAUCUGCCUUUGAGCGGGUGACAACAUUUGGAAACGAAUGCUAAUACCGCAUAAAAACUUUAAACACAAGUUUUAAGUUUGAAAUAUGCAAUUGCAUCACUCAAAGAUGAUCCCGCGUUGUAUUAGCUAGUUGGUGAGGUAAGGCUCACCAAGGCGAUGAUACGUAGCCGACCCGAGAGGGUGAUCGGCCACAUUGGGACUGAGACACGGCCCAAACUCCUACGGGAGGCAGCAGUAGGGAAUCUUCGGCAAUGGACGAAAGUCUGAACGAGCAACGCCGCGUGAGUGAAGAAGGUUUUCGGAUCGUAAAACUCUGUUGGUAGAGAAGAACGUUGGUGAGAGUGGAAAGCUCAUAAAGUGACGGUAACUACACAGAAAGGGACGGCUAACUACGUG